GCUGCUGCAGAUGGAGGCAGAAGAUCUAUUUAAGUCAUAAACCACAAAUGGUGGCGAAAUUCCCGCUGUUUUUCUGCAAGCUGUUUUAGAAGGAGAAAUCUGACUAAUCUGAGCUGAGGACUUGAACCGAUGUUUCCGGACACCGGGGCGCACGAAAAGGAGAGAAAACAGGUGGCAGGAUCAAUAAAACUGACGGUUUUGACGGCGCGUGGAACUCAACAGCCAACGGACACCUACCUUGACGACUUCUACAGGCAAUUUUGUCUUCCAAGACGUUGGCAUUCCAAGCCUAAAGAAGUUGGCUAAUAAACUUCAAGCAGACUGUG